rnacentral:rRNA from 1 species
UACAGAGGGUGCGAGCGUUGUUCGGAAUCAUUGGGCGUAAAGCGCGUGUAGGUGGUUAAGUAAGUCAGAUGUGAAAGCCCUCGGCUCAACCGGGGAAGUGCAUCUGAAACUGCUUAGCUAGAGGACGGUAGAGGAAGGUGGAAUUCCUAGUGUAGAGGUGAAAUUCGUAGAUAUUAGGAGGAAUACCGGCGGCGAAGGCGGCCUUCUGGGCCGUUCCUGACACUGAGACGCGAAAGCGUGGGGAGCAAACAGG